GACGAACGCUGGCGGCGUGCUUAACACAUGCAAGUCGAGCGGUAAGGCCCUUUCGGGGGUACACGAGCGGCGAACGGGUGAGUAACACGUGGGUGACCUGCCCUCAGCUCUGGGAUAAGCCUGGGAAACCGGGUCUAAUACUGGAUAUGACUCCAUGACGCAUGUUGUGGGGUGGAAAGCCUUGUGCGGCUGAGGAUGGGCCCGCGGCCUAUCAGCUUGUUGGUGGGGUGANGGCCUACCAAGGCGACGACGGGUAGCCGGCCUGAGAGGGCGACCGGCCACACUGGGACUGAGACACGGCCCAGACUCCUACGGGAGGCAGCAGUGGGGAAUCUUGCGCAAUGGGCGAAAGCCUGACGCAGCGACGCUGCGUGAGGGAUGACGGCCUCGGU
rnacentral:rRNA from 1 species